rnacentral:lncRNA from 1 species
ACCAAUUUUCAUUCAUUGAAAAUCAUAAGAUUAUCCAAAAAAAACAUACAUAAUUACAAAAAUUGGCAUUUUGACCAAAUCCAACCCAUCCCCAAGAAUCCCAAGGAUCCUAACCCCUACUUUCUCUCUAUGUAUAUACAUUGAAGCACAUGGCAAAAUGUGAAAGAAAUUUGUUCUGUUAAAAAGAAUGGAACCAGAGAGACCAAUUCCACAAUGGCUUCUGUUUCUACACCAAGGCGCAGCAUUUGUUGAUUUAAGUCCACAUCCCUUUGCUGUUGUCGAUGCAGCUUAUAGGCUCAUGAUAAAUGAUGGAAUUAACCAGUCAAUUUUGUUGAUACACAAGAACCCUGCAAGAAAUCAACUGUCAGCUUGUUUGAAUAAAGCUAUGCAUCAAGAUAGAGGCAGAAGUUCUUACAGUGGAGCAAAGAAAUAGCAACAAAAUAGAAAGAAAAUUCUCGCAUCUCAAUUGCGAUUCCGAAUCGCGUUUUAGAGUGAGAAACAAGCAAUAAGAAGGUGAUACAAAAGAAGGCCUAGUUUUCCAGUGGACCGUUAUUAGAUCUUUUUUUGGCAAUUCUUCAAUAGCGGGCUUGCUACGCAUUGUUCACUAAUUGUGAGACCUUCACAUAUUGAAGAACAGUUGGGGAAGUUUGGUUACUAAUGACCCAUCUGUCAUAGAAAACACUUUAGAACAGUAUGGUGGUUUUGCAUAUCCAGACAACAAUAAUGUACUAUAAAGGCUUGAAAUUGUAGAUAAAUUCAUUUACCAAUUGGGGGACUUU